AGUGAUGUAAGUUAUAUAAACUAUUGAUUUGUGGAAUCAAAAAAAUUUUAAUCUUCACU
rnacentral:tRNA from 1 species